CCCCACCCACCCACCUCUUCGUCUCUCUCAACUCAGAGACAUGAACCCUAGCCGCCGUCUCAAAAUUCCCAAAUCCCACCGGCGGCGGCGUGACCCAAUCCUCACCAAACUCACAGCCUAUCUUGCCGAAUCUUAAAUUUGAGAGCCGGAGGCCAGACCUUGCUUCCACCAAAUCAGAUCCAAACACUCACCACUCCCUUUCCCUCCCAAAACCUGAAGUCAAUCCCUUCAAGCCCUCUUUAAAACUCACAGAGAUCGAGUCUGGAUGGACAUGCAUGGGUUGCCAAAAUGAGUUGAGCCGGAAAAAGGUGCCCCUUGGUUGUCCUCAAAGGGGAACACUCAUGUGGUACCUCUUUCCGGGUUUAAGUCAAAGAAGACGGGUAUAGCUGGAUAGCCAUGGCAGUAGGUACAUGGCUUUGAACCUUAUUUAAUGUAAAGCUGAAUUGGAAGAAAUGAAAUAAAACAAGAUUUAAAGUGUAGAAGCAGAUUUGCUUGUGAUUCAACAGCAUUUCCUCAUUUUUUUUUGUGUCUCUCAUAAUGUGAUUCAUAGUAUAUUGGUUGAUUUGGAAUUUGAAACAGUUAUCUUUCAUGUUUGUAUUUGAUUUGGAAUCUCUGAGAUGCUGUAGUAGAAGAUUUGGGUUGGAUUACUGUAUCUUAAAUGUGUUUUCCUUUUGGCUAUAGCAAUGGUCAUGCUUGGUGAAGAUUGUAAUCUAGAUUGGUUGCAAUGGUUAGUAUAGGGUAGGGACAGAUCGAUAACAUGCCGUAUGCUGUUUGAAGGACAUCAUGAGAAGUUAUUUUGCUGUGAAUAUUCUGUUUAUAAACCCUCGCUGAAAAUGAUUUUAAUAGUUUAUUAAUGUUGUUUAAAUUUGACAUGAGUCACCUUAGGAUUC